GACGAACGCUGGCGGCGUGCUUAACACAUGCAAGUCGAACGGAAAGGCCCCUUUGGGGGUACUCGAGUGGCGAACGGGUGAGUAACACGUGAGUAACCUGCCCUUGACUUCGGGAUAACUUCAGGAAACUGGGGCUAAUACCGGAUAGGAAUCCUUGCUGCAUGGUGGGGGUUGGAAAGCUUCGGCGGUUUUGGAUGGACUCGCGGCUUAUCAGCUUGUUGGUGGGGUAGUGGCUUACCAAGGCUUUGACGGGUAGCCGGCCUGAGAGGGCGACCGGCCACAUUGGGACUGAGAUACGGCCCAGACUCCUACGGGAGGCAGCAGUGGGGAAUAUUGCUCAAUGGGCGGAAGCCUGAUGCAGCAACGCCGCGUGCGGGAUGACGGCCUUCGGGUUGUAAUCCGCUUUCAGCAGGGGCGAAGCUUGUGGUGACGGUACCUGCAGAAGAAGCACCGGCUAACUACGUG
rnacentral:rRNA from 1 species